GGAUGUGAGAGCAAUCUAGCUGUGACAUCUGUCACUCCACUGAUCUCCAGGGUUGAUUUGGUUGAUCUGGCUGGCUAGGCAGGGGUCCCCUUACUCCCUCACCACUCCAUGUGUCUCUCCUUAAGCUGAACACUCGGUCAAAGAGGACAACCAUCCUGAUAGAGGAGGACUGGUCUUUGGUCAAGGGUAUACGAGCAGCUGUGCUGCCCUGCUAGAACCUCCAAACAAGCUCUCCAAAGAUUCAGUAAAAUAUGGCUGCAUGGUGGCUAACGCCUGUAAUCCCAGCACUUUGGGAGGCUGAGGCAGGUGGAUCUCCUGAG
rnacentral:snRNA from 1 species